rnacentral:rRNA from 1 species
AACGAACGCUGGCGGCAUGCCUAACACAUGCAAGUCGAACGAGACCUUCGGGUCUAGUGGCGCACGGGUGCGUAACGCGUGGGAACCUGCCUUUAGGUUCGGAAUAACUCAGAGAAAUUUGAGCUAAUACCGGAUGAUGUCUUCGGACCAAAGAUUUAUCGCCUUUAGAUGGGCCCGCGUUGGAUUAGCUAGUUGGUGGGGUAAAGGCCUACCAAGGCGACGAUCUAUAGCUGGUCUGAGAGGAUGAUCAGCCACACUGGGACUGAGACACGGCCCAGACUCCUACGGGAGGCAGCAGUGGGGAAUAUUGGACAAUGGGCGAAAGCCUGAUCCAGCAAUGCCGCGUGAGUGAUGAAGGCCUUAGGGUUGUAAAGCUCUUUUACCCGAGAUGAUAAUGACAGUAUCGGGAGAAUAAGCUCCGGCUAACUCCGUG